UCUUCUUGAGGCAAGCACAAGCGAAGU
rnacentral:snRNA from 1 species